GGGCCCUUAGCUCAUCUGGUAGAGCGCCUCGUUUGCAACGAGGAGGCGACCGGUUCGAUCCCGGUAGGGUCCACCA
rnacentral:tRNA from 1 species